ACCACAAAAAAACUCUUUCACUUUCUACCUCGGUUCCUUCUCCAUUCAACUCUUUCAUUUUCUCUUUCUAUUUCUCAUCUCAGAGAAAAACUCUCUGCAAAAUCAAAAAAUGGAGAUCGUUUUUAGCCGAAAUCCAAAUCUUACCUCAUAGUUCUUUCUCCGUUCAACAUAAAUCCUCCCAUCUCAGAAACUCUCCUCAAAUCAACCUAUUAACAGGAAGUGUAUCAAACCGCAGAUCCAGUUCAAAGGGUAGUCAGAAAUUCUCUCUAUAGUGCUCAUAUAACUGCAUUGAUGAAAACAAAUCUCACAGCAAUGGGAAAGAAUAAGGUAACAGUAAAGAAAAAGCAGCUCAAGCAGUUUCCAAUCAAGAUGAAGAAGCAACUGAAGAGCAAGUCCGAAUCUGAUAAUGCAUCUCCACCUGAAUCUGCUACACUUACUUCAAAGUGCCGAACACCAAGAAAUAGCAA